rnacentral:piRNA from 1 species
UCUACCACCGUCUUGAUGCAGCGCAUGCCC